rnacentral:rRNA from 1 species
CACGUCCAAGGAUGGCAGCAGGCGCGAAAAUUGUCCACUCUUUUGAGAGGAGACAGUUAUGAAACGUGAGUAGAAGGGUCGAGUGUAAAAACCUUGACGUGAAGCAAUUGGAGGGCAAGUUUUGGUGCCAGCAGCCGCGGUAAUUCCAACUCCAAGAGUGUCUAUGGUGGAUGCUGCAGUUAAAGGGUCCGUAGUCGUAGAUGCAAUUAAAAGGUGGUGUUAAAAGCCAUUGAGUUUGUUGAGAGUAGCGGAACGGAUAGGGAGCAUGGUAUAGGUGGGCAAAGAAUGAAAUCUCAAGACCCCACCUGGACCAACGGAGGCGAAAGCGAUGCUCUUAGACGUAUCUGGGGAUCAAGGACGAAGGCUAGAGUAUCGAAAGUGAUUAGACACCGCUGUAGUUCUAGCAGUAAACUAUGCCGACAAUGCUGGGUGUUGCGAGAGCGAUGCUUGGUGUGGGAGAAAUCUUAGUUUUCGGGCUCUGGGGAUAGUACGCUCGCAAGGGUGAAACUUAAAGCGAAAUUGACGGAAGGACACUACCAGGAGUGGAUUGUGCUGCUUAAUUUAACUCAACGCGGGAAAACUUACCAGGGUCAAGUCUAUCGUAGAUUGGAGACAUGAGGUAGACAAGAGUGGUGCAUGGCCGUUGGAAAUUGAUGGGGCGACUUUUAGCUUAAGUGCUGGAACCAGUGAGAUCUUCUAGACAGGUGUUAUUUAGGCACAGGAGGGAGAAGGCAAUAACAGGUCCGUGAUGCCCUUAGAUAUCCUGGGCAGCAAGCGCAAUACAAUAUCUCUUGAGAAGACAAAGCAAUUUGAGAUGAGUAGGAUUAGCUUUUGUAAAUAAGCUAUGAAUGAGGAAUUCCUAGUAACAGUGUCUCAUCAAGGCAUUGUGAAUGUGUCCCUGUUC